UACGUAGGGACCGAGCGUUGUCCGGAAUCAUUGGGCGUAAAGAGCGUGUAGGCGGCUUGCUAAGUCUUGCGUGAAAUCUCGGGGCUCAACCCCGAGCGGUCGUGGGAAACUGGCAGGCUAGAGUGCGGGAGAGGAGAAUGGAAUUCCCGGUGUAGCGGUGAAAUGCGCAGAUAUCGGGAGGAACACCAAUGGCGAAGGCAGCUCGCUGGGACGGUACUGACGCUGAGACGCGAAAGCGUGGGGAGCAAACAGG
rnacentral:rRNA from 1 species